GUGCUUCAGCAGCUUCAGCACUCCUAAAAUUGGAACAAUACAGACAGGAUUAGCAUGGCCCCUGUGCAAGAUGGAUGCAAAUUUGUGAAGCGUUCCAUAUUUUU